CAUAUCAGAGCUUGAGGUAAAGCUUUUUAUUUACAAUAAAAUUAUUGUUUUUCAAAAAACAUGAUAUGA
rnacentral:tRNA from 1 species